rnacentral:rRNA from 1 species
UACGUAGGGCGCAAGCGUUAUCCGGAAUUAUUGGGCGUAAAGAGCUCGUAGGCGGUUUGUCGCGUCUGCUGUGAAAUCCCGGGGCUCAACCUCGGAACUGCAUCCGAUACUGGCAUGCUAGAGAAUUGGAGAGGAGUCUAGAAUUCACGGUGUAGCAGUGAAAUGCGUAGAUAUCGUGAGGAAUACCAAGUGCGAAGGCAGGACUCUGGACAUUUUCUGACGCUGAGACACGAAGGCCAGGGGAGCAAACGGG